CUCGUAGGCGGUUCGGCAAGUCGGAUGUGAAAUCUCCACGCUCAACGUGGAGGGGCCAUUCGAAACUGCCGUGACUCGAGUCCGGUAGGGGAGUGUGGAAUUCCCGGUGUAGCGGUGAAAUGCGCAGAUAUCGGGAGGAACACCAGUAGCGAAGGCGGCACUCUGGGCCGGUACUGACGCUGAGGAGCGAAAGCGUGGGGAGCGAACA
rnacentral:rRNA from 1 species